GCGGCCGUAACUAUAACGGUCCUAAGGUAGCGAAAUUCCUUGUCGGGUAAGUUCCGACCCGCACGAAAGGCGUAACGAGUUGGGCACUGUCUCAACAACAGACUCGGUGAAAUUGUAAUUCCGGUGACGAUGCCGGAUACCUGCGACAGGACGGAAAGACCCCAUGGAGCUUUACUGUAGCUUGACAUUGGGUCUUGGUACUACAU
rnacentral:rRNA from 1 species